rnacentral:misc_RNA from 1 species
GAAAUGCGAUAAGUAAUGUGAAUUGCGGAAUUCAGUGAAUCAUCGAAUCUUUGAACGCACAUUGCGCCCGCCAGUAUUCUGGCGGGCAUGCCUGUUCGAGCGUCAUUUCAACCAUCAAGCCCCCGGCUUGUGUUGGGGACCUGCGGCUGCCCGCAGGCCCUGAAAAACAGUGGCGGGCUCGCUGUCACACCGAGCGUAGUAGCAUACAUUCUCGCUCAGGGCGUGCUGCGGGUUCCGGCCGUUAAACGACCUUCAUAACCCAAGGUUGACCUCGGAUCAGGUAGGAAGACCCGCUGAACUUAAGC